GAUUAGUGCCCUUAUAAAAGAGGCCCCAGAGACCUCUCUGAUAUGGUUUGGCUGUGUCCCCACCCAAAUCUCAUCUUGAAUUUUAGCUCUCAUUAAUUCUUACGUGUUGUGGGAAGGACCCAGUGGGAAAUAAUUUCAUCAUGGGGGUGGUUUCCUUCAUACUAUUCUUGUGGUAGUGAAUAAGUCUCAUAAAAGCUGAUGGUUUUAUAAGGGGAAACCCCUUUCGUUUGCCUCUCAUCUUCUCUUGCCUGCUGCCAUAUAUGACAUGCCUUUUGCCUUCCACCAUGAUUGUGAGGCCUCUCCAGCCAUGUGGAACUGUGAGUCCAUUAAAUGUCUUUUUCUUUAUAAAUUGCCAAGUCUUAGGUAUGUCUUUAUCAGCAGUGUGAAUAUGGACUAAUACACUCUCUUUGCUUUCUGCCAUUUGAGGGCACAGGAAAGUCUGCAAUCUACAACCUGGAAAAAGGUUUUCACCAGACCCAACCAUGCUGGCACUUGGAUCUCAGACUUCCAGACUCCAGGACUGUGAGAAAUAAAUUCCUGUUGUUUAAAAGCCACCCAGCUCAUGGUAUUGUGUUAUAGCAGCCUGAGCUAAGACAGAAUCAACCAUUUAUUCUCUAAAAUUUCAAUUUUAGAUGGCUGAUGUUGGAAGGGAAUAAAACUGAUGGGAAAGACAGGGACAUCAGCAUCAUCUGACAAAAUGAAGAAUGAAGAGAUACUGCUAUGAUUUGAAUGUGUCCUCCGAAAUUCAUGUGUUGGAAAGUUAAUCUCCAGUCCAACUGUGUUGGGAGGUAGAGCCUUCUGAAGGGUUUAUAUUAUGAGGGUGCAGUCCUUAUGAAUUGAUUCAUGCCACCAUUAAAAGGGCUUUCAGGAGUGGGUUGGCUCCUUCUGCUUUUCUGCCAUGUGAGGACUCAGCACUCCUCCUCUCCAGAGGUGUGGCGACAAGGUGCCAUCUUUGAACCAGAGUCCAAACCUGCUAGCGUCUUGAUAUUGAACUUCCCAGCUUCCAGAACCAUGAGAAAUAAAUUUCUGUUCCUUAUACAUUA
rnacentral:lncRNA from 1 species